rnacentral:snoRNA from 1 species
UUUAUUGAAAUGAUGAGUUUGUUCAUGUCUCUUCUCUGACCAAUUACUGGAGAGAAUGUAAAAAAAAAACUCUGAUCACUGAA